GCUCCCACCCUCCCUGAGCUGCAGGAAAGCCCCUGCUUUUGUUCUCCUGCAAGUUCCUCCAUUUUCCUCAUGACAUUGGACAGUCUACAAAACCUAGGAAAAUCACUUAGUUUAUAAUCUGAUGAAAACAAGUGGAGAGAAAAAAGGGCUUUUUCUCAUAAAGACUGUACAGGAGAAUCUGACCUCCCUUUAAAGGACUGACGGACACCGAGGUCACCCCUGCGCUCGUUUCCCCCAGGCUGCAGGAGGGGCUACUGCCGGGGCCCAAAGUGCGCCAGGCAGAAGCGUCACGUGAGGAGGCCCUGGGGCCACGUUAGGGACUGUCCUUGCCCAGUGCUGACGGGGGGACCUGCCGGGGUCUUGCGCCCGCCUUGCCAACCCGGGUGCCGUCAAGGGGUCCGGAUCGCUCAGAUGGCUGACCUCACAGCAGCAUGGGCUGCUCCAGCAAGUCCACGCGAGACCGGUUGGUGGAAUCCUUAGCAUUAAAGUCAGUCCCGUUCUCCUCAGGACCAGCACGGUAGGUAAAGACCCGCGUGAAGAAGCUGACACAGUACAGAUUCGGGCGCCAUCCAGAAAAACCAACUAUCUACCUGGGACACGCUUGCUCUCUUGUCGCUCACUCACGUGAGAGGAGUCCCUGUUCACACUUGAGCCCAACAAGCCUGGGGAGCACCUACGCCCGUCGCCUUCGCAGCUGGGGCUGGGAGGGGACAGGAGACGGAGCCCGUAGGGCAGAGAAGAGAGGGGAAGGGAACCUGGGUGACGAGGGAGGCCCCCGUGAGCACCAGCCUGAAGGAAGGGAGGGGACGAGCCAUGUCUGGGAAGGCGGCUCCGUGGCCUGUGGCCCACCCAGGGGGUGGAGGUGAGGACUCGGGAUUUUCUGUGAAGCCACCCGGAAAGCGGCAACCUGGGGACACGAUCGGGUCACCUUCCAGAUUCUCCUGCCAGAGCACGGAUGGGAGAGGAGGGCGCAGAAGAGGAAGCACAGCAGGCGGGAGGCCACACAGCCAGGGUUCGCGGGCGGACGCCACUGCCUGGGGGAGCGGCCGCUGGAGCCCGGAGGGUUUGCUGCUGCCACGUCGGUCCCUCCUCAGAGACCACAUCCACGCGGGGCAGUACGUGCACUUGACAGAUGGCUAAUUUGGUGACUCUCCAGGGGCCCUGCCGGUGGGGGAGGGAGACGUCUGUGGAGUGGAAGGACGGGCCCUGCUGCUGCGUAAGUAGCCCGAUGGGACCAGGUCCAGAGUCACAACACCACGGGAGCGCGCCGGCCCUCCCCGCCACCUCGGCUCAGCGAAGCCGGCAGGAGCGUCCACGUGCCAACACCAAGCUCCGGACUUCAAUGCCUCUCCUGCAGGGGACCUGGCGGCCUCUUCUGUGACUCGAGGUAUGAGGGGGUGGGGGGGUCCUCCCUGGGGGCAGCACAGAGCUUGCAAACCCGUCAGAGGGAGGUCAGGAGAAGCAGAAGUGGAACACUGAGCUAGUGUGCUAGAAUUGCUACAAUUCUUCUAGGGUCAGGCUCAGGGCCCCUGGGUGGCUCAGUGGGUUUAGAGACCAACUUCAGCUCAGGUCACGAUCUCAUGAUUCGUGAGUUCGAGCCCCACGUCUGGCUCUGCAGUGACAGUGUGGAGCCGCUUGGGAUUCUCUCUCUGCUCCUCCCCCAUGGACACGUUCUUCUCAAAGUAAACAGAAAAACUUAAAUCGAAACAGGCUCCAGAGGAGUGGAAACCCCAAGCGGGGAUCCGUACUGGCACUACAGGCCUUCCUGCUGAGGAGGCCCAGCCUCUCCCGGGGCUCCAGGACCAGACCAGUUUCUGAAAGAAGACAAAGGAACAAAGCAGGAAGGGAUGAAAAGACAGUGUCACCUGACAGCCCGAAAGAGAGGCCACAGCUGAGUGCAAACAGCCCAUUAGUACUUAAAUCCCUCCAGGGCCAAGGUUGGAGGAUGAUACAGAAAAGCAGAAGGCAGUGCCUGCCCCGUUCCGUCCAAGUCUGGUCUCCAAGCCACCCAGCCCCAUUUCUGCACACGCCGUGGACCGUCAUGGUGAACCCCGAUUAUCCUGACGUUGCAGCUGAAGAAGGGAACGGAUCAAGAACGUCCAAGGCGGUGGGCCCAACUCUGUAGGAAGCGGGGCAGGGCCAGCUGGACCUCCCCGGGGUCUCUGCUGUGAAGGCCCAUCGGUGGUGGCGACAGACCAGACCCUGCUGCACAUCAGUUUAACAAGCACGGAUCAGAUUUCUAGGUCCCAUGGGUACAGAGGCCAGCGCGACAAAGGCUCUGCUCUAAGAGACCUGGGGCAGCAGCGCUCCCUGGCUGGGGUGACCGUUGCUGCGGGAGCUUCAUCAAUACCUCCAGGGCCACUGGGCCACAGCACGGGAAGCCAGACGGAUGCGAGUGCAUGCUACCUGACCGCUAUGAGGCUGCUUUCUCAUGGGGUAAUGAUUAGAGGGGAUAGAAACAGUCACAGCGGUCAGAUCUAUUUGAAAAAACAUGUGCCCUUAGAUAACUGUACUCAUGUUUCCUACAAGAGUUAACAGUUAUGCUUAAAAGGAGGAAAAAAAAAAAGCCUGGCCCCGUGGUCACGAUGUUUUGAAAACAGGAGAUUCCCAUGUACUUCCAGGUUGUGAUCCGGCGGGGUAGAAUCUGGUGACUAACCACAGCCUGGGGUGUAGGGGAAAGUGGGCUCGCUGUCCUGCCCAUGCCCCCAGGGUGACCCUCAGGGUCUUCGGGUCCACCCCCUCACCCACAAAAUGGGGCUGAGACUUGUGUGACAGGGCUGGGCACAAAAGGGCAUGCGGGAGACUCGGCCUUUGCAGACAUCAGUGACUGUAUCGGGGGACACACUUGAGGGGCCUGGAACCUUGUCCCCCUCAACAGAAGAGCCAGUGCAGGGGCUGCUGCUCCUUCAGGGCUCAUCCAACCAGGGGCUGUGUCCCCAGGGGCAACAGGACCACAGAUUCUGGUGUCCAGAAGGCAGGCAGGUGAGCAGGGACCCCAACAAAUGCUUGCAGUUGUGGUGCCCCUGCCCAAUGUCCUGCUUCCUGUCUUCCCAUAGGAAAGCUGGUGCCACCUCUGUAUCUGUGUAGAGAACCCAUAACCCGGUCCCCCUUCCUUCAUCAGACUUCAGGGAGCAGCGGUUUUCCUGGGGCCCCUCUGGGCGCGAGGGACUCCCCUCCCCAUGCUAACCCACGCCUGCCUGAGACCUGGGUCUCAGAUCUCACACUGAAACGCUGAAAACAUGCCGAGAUGCCCGGCAUGGUGAGGACGCCCAGGCCACGGCCAAAGUCCACUGUCAUUGGCAAUCCCGUCUGAAGCCGGACCGGGAACUCGAGGUUCGCUGGUUCACAGGCGUCGCCCACCCUGCAGGCCCCCAUCUCUUUGAGCAACCUCAUGCCAGGUGAGCGCUUGGUUGGCUGCCUCCCCUGCUGGGAGAGACACAGUCGGGCUACCUGUCCUGUGCCGGCCCUGGGGUAGCCACCCUCCCCUCGAGGACCUCCCUUUCCUCUCACUGCGUCAGAGGAACCGCAUCCCAUGGGGCUGAUGGGCACGGUGGCUCAUGGACACCCAGAGACGUGUGUGGUCACUGUGCGGGCAGCAGGGGCCAAAUUUGGGCCUUUUGGGUUUCAAAGCCCCGCUGCCUCGUCCCACUGCACUGCUGGGGCUUCUUUUAAGCUUAGAGGCACAUUUUCCUUUUUAACGUCUGUGGAAAAUGGAGUGUUGCACGUUUUAAUAGCAUUUUGGAGGCAAUGUGGGAGGGUGACGAGAGGCUUUUGGAAGCCACUAGGCUGCUGACCCUGUGCCCGUCCCUGCCAGACUGCCCAGGGACUGGAGGAGAUAACAUCCAAGUGCCCGGCUCAGCGUCUGACACUGAGAAAGUGCUUUAGAAAGUAAAGAUUUGUUUUUUUCCUUUUCUCAGUUUGGUGUUUUAAAGCUUUAUUUUUCAACAGCCCAUUCACGUAGUUCAAAAUUUAAAACCAGCUCACUCUCACAGUGGUAAGAUCUCUCUCAUCCCUGUUCCCACCCCUCAGGAGGUCUGUAAUCUGCGUUUUUGGGUGUCUUUUGACAUUCCCUUUAUAUACUCACAAGCAAGUGUGGAGACAUUAUUACCCCCUUGAGACAAAACUGUCAGGUUACUUGCACUGUUUUACACUUUACUGGGCUCAGUUGAGAAAAAAUCCCAGCGAUGGGUCUACAUCCGCUAUUUCCACAGCUGUAGGGCGUUCUGCUGUGUGGACGGACCACCGUGUACUUGUGGUCAGUCCCCUCCUGCAGGUGGGCAGGCUUCUUCCCCAUCCUGCCGCUGUGUGUCUGCCCUUCCCACGUACAGGAGCCGACAGACGACUCCAUCACCUGCAUGGAUCUGCCCAGCUAUAAAGUCGUCAAGUUUUUCGUGCUCCAGCUGUCCCGAAGCCAGGAAGUGAUAAGCCAGCAAGAGCUGUCUCCCUGGGAGUUCGGGAAGGCUGGGCGGGGCUCAGCAGCACAGCCCCCUGAGGAAGCCUCACAGAGGGCUGUGGGGGAAUCACUGACUGCGUCAGAGGGCAGACAAUGGAGCAAGAACGUCCCCACGGCGUUGGCUACGUCGGCCCCCACGGCCCCAGUGUGUGUGCUGAGGAAAGGGCAAAUGAACUAUGUCUCCCUGGUAGAAGGUCACACAGCCCCUGAAAACUCCACUUCAAGGAACAUUCAUGGACGCGGGGAAAUAAAAUAUGCACCGAGAACAAAAGCAGAAAAUUGAACCAUGAGCAUGCAGACUCCAGCUGUGGGAUCAUGUUCUUGCAAAGAGGAAAGAUGGGUCAGCUGUGGUCACAGUGGCUACAGAAAACUUAAAAUUGCACGUGACUCAUGUGAUUUCUGUUGGACAGUGAAUUUCACCGUUAAUAAAGAGCUAUGAAAAUGAUUACCAUCUCUCAAGUCCCCCAAGGAGUCUGGAAAUUCAUGUAUCAGAUACCUUUGCUACCGACCCGUUGAACCCACUGAUCUGACCAAGCAAACCUAUGGGAAAAGGCUCUGAGAACUGCCCAGUGAGCCUCAGUGAUCGCUAAGGAAACACGGGUCACCCGUGGCCAACUGCUAUUAAAUGAUUGUUUAGUAACUUUAGUUACUUUGAAUAAAGAUGUUUAAAAAACCCCAUUUUCCCCCCACCAUGUUUCCAAUUUCCAUCUCAAGAUAGUUUCUUAGAAAAUCAAAUACCCAUGAGCUUUUAUAUUCUUAGG